GACGAACGCUGGCGGCGUGCUUAACACAUGCAAGUCGAACGGAAAGGCCUCUUUCGGGGGGUACUCGAGUGGCGAACGGGUGAGUAACACGUGAGUAACCUGCCCUUGACUUUGGGAUAACUUCAGGAAACUGGGGCUAAUACCGGAUAGGAGCUCCUGCUGCAUGGUGGGGGUUGGAAAGUUUCGGCGGUUGGGGAUGGACUCGCGGCUUAUCAGCUGGUUGGUGGGUAGUGGCUUACCAAGGCUUUGACGGGUAGCCGGCCUGAGAGGGUGACCGGCCACAUUGGGACUGAGAUACGGCCCAGACUCCUACGGGAGGCAGCAGUGGGGAAUAUUGCACAAUGGGUGGAAGCCUGAUGCAGCAACGCCGCGUGCGGGAUGACGGCCUUCGGGUUGUAAACCGCUUUCGCCUGUGACGAAGCGUGAGUGACGGUAAUGGGUAAAGAAGCACCGGCUAACUACGUG
rnacentral:rRNA from 1 species